GGAAGAGCGAGCUGAGGGGCGGUUUGGCUGGGAUGCCCAGAGCUCGGCCGCGUUCAUCCCUGCAGGUUUCGGGCCGAGGGUAGUCUGAAGGACCCGAUCUCUUUUCACGUCGUCCUCACCUAACCAAAAAGAAAGGCAGCCUGGAGGAGUGGCUCACACCAGUAACCGUUGGCAUUUGGGAGGCUGUGGCCGGAGGAUUGCUAGCUCUUCUCAGGAGUGGUGUGAGACAGGCAGAAGCAUCUAUGACUGGCAAGCUAACUGCCAAAUACUAUUCCCACCACACAUACGAGGAGAGCAAACAGAGAUAUCAAGAAUGGUAAAGCAACGAAGGCUUAACCACAGAGGAGAGCUGAGUGGCUGUCUGCUAAUCACCGGAAAAAAGGCUCACCAGACCAAAAAGAAAAAAGAAAAGGGCCCCUGAAAAGAAGGGAGAAAGGCUAACCAGAGGAAGAAGGGGGAAGAGAAAAACAAGUGCUGGAACAAUCCUGUCAAACCCAGGACACUUCCACAGUUCAGUCCUAGGAAGAGAGCGACAGACACUGCAGAUGCCAAGUAAAAUGGUGUGUGCUGUUAGUGACCCUGCUGUUAAAAUAUAUAUAUGUGUGCGUGUGUAUGUAUGUAUAUGUAUAUAUAUGUAUGUAUAUAUAUGUAUAUAUAUAUUAUUUAUUUUAUGUAUGUACACUGUUGCUAUCUUUAGACACAUCAGAAGAGGCCACUGGGUCCCCCUUACAGACAAUCGUGAGCCAUGUGGUUG
rnacentral:lncRNA from 1 species